AUCAGUUACUAUCCAGCCUGACUGGCAGCAGGUUAGGGUGAGUAAUCAGUUACUAUCCAGCCUGACUGGCAGCAUGUUAGGGUGAGUAAUCAGUUACUAUCCAGCCUGACUGGCAGCAGGUUAGGGUGAGUAAUCAGUUACUAUCCAGCCUGACUGGCAGCAUGUUAGGGUGAGUAAUCAGUUACUAUCCAGCCUGACUGGCAGCAUGUUAGGGUGAGUAAUCAGUUACUAUCCAGCCUGACUGCAGCAGGCUAGCAGUACCUAUCGUAACUGUUAGUAACCUAUAGGUUGUAUAGCAUCAGAUUGGCAGUGGUGAUGGAGAGGACAGGGACAACAAAACAGAACUGACUGGAAUCUAAGUUCUAGAAGAUAAUUCUGUAAUAGUUCUAUUGAAGUCUGUUCUACACUCUCUGUAGAAGGCUAGUUACUAGAGCUCGGUCCGUUCAUAUAUGAAUAUUAUGCACUGCUUUAGUUUUAUGUUUUAAUGACCAUCGCACCAAACUGGUUAGAGGAUUAAAUUAGGUUUGAGAGUUUAACCCGACCCUAAAUUAGGUUUGAGAGUUUAAGCUGACCCCUGACCCUAUAUUAGGUUUGAGAGUUAACCCUGACCCUAAUUAGGUUUGAGAGUUUAACCCCUGACCCUGACCCUAAAUUAGUUUUGAGAGUUUAACCCUGACCCUAAAUUAGGUUUGAGAGGCAAGACGUUGCAGUAUAAUGACAUUCACUACUUUAAAUGUUUAUGAAAAUAAAUCCAAUGUUCUUAAUAACCUGUGCUUAUAUUGCAGAUAUUGUAUAAUUGUUUAUUUAAUGUUUAUUUAAUCAAACUGAAAAGUUGAAUAACAUUUUGAACAUGAUUCAGAUGACUUGGUAGCGAUAGUUUACUUCAACAUUAGUUCAAAUCAGAGCUUUUUUUGUCAAAUCAAAUCUUUAUGUAAAUAAUUAACUUUUACAUAAACUGGCACAAGUGUUGAAUAAACUUUGGUUGAUCCUGAA